UACGGGGGGGGCAAGCGUUGUUCGGAAUUACUGGGCGUAAAGGGCUCGUAGGUGGCCAACUAAGUCGGACGUGAAAUCCCUCGGCUUAACCGGGGAACUGCUUCCGAUACUGGUUGGCUUGAGUUUGGGAGAGGGAUGCGGAAUUCCAGGUGUAGCGGUGAAAUGCGUAGAUAUCUGGAGGAACACCGGUGGCGAAGGCGGCUAUCUGGACGGUUUCUGACACUAAGACUCGAAAGCGUGGGGAGCAAACAGG
rnacentral:rRNA from 1 species